GUAAGCGACUUACUUAGACUAAAAUUGAAACAAUAGAUUAGAUGGUCCUUGUGCAAGGAUGACAUACAAAUUUAUGAAAUGUUCCAUAUUUUU
ensembl:snRNA U6 U6 spliceosomal RNA